rnacentral:rRNA from 1 species
AGAGUUUGAUCAUGGCUCAGAACGAACGUUAGCGGCGCGCCUAACACAUGCAAGUCGAACGAGAAAGGGCUUCGGCCCCGGUAAAGUGGCGCACGGGUGAGUAACACGUGGAUAAUCUUCCCUCGAGCGGGGGAUAACAUUCCGAAAGGAGUGCUAAUACCGCAUAAGACCACGGAGUCGAAAGGCUCUGAGGUAAAAGCAGGCCUCUAUACAUAAGCUUGCACUUGAGGAUGAGUCCGCGGCCCAUCAGGUAGUUGGUUGGGGUAAUGGCCCACCAAGCCUAAGACGGGUAGCUGGUCUGAGAGGAUGAUCAGCCACACUGGAACUGAGACACGGUCCAGACUCCUACGGGAGGCAGCAGUGGGGAAUCUUGCGCAAUGGGCGAAAGCCUGACGCAGCGACGCCGCGUGAGUGAUGAAGGCCUUCGGGUUGUAAAGCUCUGUGGGGAGAGACGAAUAAGUCGUAGCUAAUACCUCCGAUGAUGACGGUAUCUCCUUAGCAAGCACCGGCUAACUCUGUGCCAGCAGCCGCGGUAAGACAGAGGGUGCAAACGUUGUUCGGAAUUACUGGGCGUAAAGCGUGUGUAGGCGGCUAAGUAAGUCGGAUGUGAAAGCCCUGGGCUCAACCCAGGAAGUGCACUCGAUACUGCAUAGCUAGAGUACUGGAGAGGAUAGUGGAAUUCCCAGUGUAGUGGUGAAAUACGUAGAGAUUGGGAAGAACACCAGUGGCGAAGGCGGCUAUCUGGACGGUUUCUGACACUAAGACUCGAAAGCGUGGGGAGCAAACAGGAUUAGAUACCCUAGUAGUCC